UGAUUACAAUGAUGCAGUAGAGAACAACAUCACAGAUUCUAGAUAUGUGCAUCUUGAUGGUGGCCAUAUUCCCACGAAAGUAAAGAAUAAGAAAAGGGCUUCCCUUGAUUCCGACAAGGAGCUAGAUCGUAGAGUUGCUGGGUUGUACAAUGAAGCUGGUCGCAAUGAAUUAAAAAUGUAUGAAGCAGAAUAUGAGGCAUCUCUAAAGGGAGGGGGCAAAUCUAAAAAAAGAACUUGGAAAUAACCAUCAGUUUUCUGAUGGUAAGGAUUUUGGAAUCAGUGAUGAGGUUAAUGCUGAUGACAAUUAUGAUGAUGGCAUUGAUUCUAGUGAUACUCAAAAGGAUGAAUAUGAUGAUUUUGCACGGGACAAGGACUAUAUUUUAGAUGAAGCGAAAUCUCAUGAUGAGAAUGUUACUGAGUCCUCUACUUCCUUAAAUGCUAAAACUCACAAAGAACAUAUUGUCAAAGAGGUUAGGAAAAAUCCACUUUCUCUAGGGAGGCCUCUCAAGAUGUUGAUGAUGUUGGUUCUGGUUCUCAUCAUGUUGGUUCCUUUAGUCGUAAAUCUGGAAAAACUCAAAAGCAGAUCAAAGAAAAAGCCAAGGCGCCGGAAAUUUUCAGGCUCUUGUGAGAUGAAAUUAAAAAUCAACACACCUUGUGGAGCCUGUAGAAAGUCGAAAGUUGCACGAUUUUCCUUACAGUAUACACAAAUGGAGAAGCCUGAAGGAGAACAAUGGAUACAUAAAUUUGCGGGGAUCAGAGUUUACAAGAACGGAGGAAUCUUUUUUGGCGCGUGAUAAAAGGAUAAUUGUGGGUUUGUUAAAGGUCCACAAGGAUAUCCAACCACUGGCUUUGAUCUGGCAGAAGAUGAUGUGAAUUAUAUCAGCAGGUGCCACAUUGCUGUCAUUUCUUGCAUUUUUGGAAAUUCAGAUCGAUUGAGGUUACCUGCUGGCAAAAUGGUUACUCAUCAAGGAAAAAUGCCUGCUUUGUUAUGUUUUGGAUGAGUUAC